UACGUAGGUGGCAAGCGUUGUCCGGAAUUAUUGGGCGUAAAGCGCGCGCAGGCGGUUUCUUAAGUCUGAUGUGAAAGCCCACGGCUCAACCGUGGAGGGUCAUUGGAAACUGGGAGACUUGAGUACAGAAGAGGAGAGUGGAAUUUCCUGUGUAGCGGUGAAAUGCGUAGAUAUAGGAAGGAACACCAGUGGCGAAGGCGGCUCUCUGGUCUGUAACUGACGCUGAGGUGCGAAAGCGUGGGGAUCAAACAGG
rnacentral:misc_RNA from 1 species